rnacentral:rRNA from 1 species
AUUGAACGCUGGCGGCAGGCCUAACACAUGCAAGUCGAACGGUAACAGGAAGCAGCUUGCUGCUUCGCUGACGAGUGGCGGACGGGUGAGUAAUGUCUGGGAAGCUGCCUGAUGGAGGGGGAUAACUACUGGAAACGGUAGCUAAUACCGCAUAAUGUCGCAAGACCAAAGAGGGGGACCUUCGGGCCUCUUGCCAUCGGAUGUGCCCAGAUGGGAUUAGCUUGUUGGUGGGGUAAUGGCUCACCAAGGCGACGAUCCCUAGCUGGUCUGAGAUGAUGACCAGCCACACUGGAACUGAGACACGGUCCAGACUCCUACGGGAGGCAGCAGUGGGGAAUAUUGCACAAUGGGCGCAAGCCUGAUGCAGCCAUGCCGCGUGUAUGAAGAAGGCCUUCGGGUUGUAAAGUACUUUCAGCGGGGAGGAAGGGAGUAAAGUUAAUACCUUUGCUCAUUGACGUUACCCGCAGAAGAAGCACCGGCUAACUCCGUG